UGCCCGCAAGGGAAUGUAGUGAGAGGUGCUGCAUGGCUGUCGUCAGCUCGUGUUGUGAAAUGUUGGGUUAAGUCUCGCAACGAGCGCAACCCCUAUUGUCUGUUGCCAGCAUUAAGUUGGGCACUCUGACGAGACUGCCUGGGUUAACCAGGAGGAAGGUGGGGAUGACGUCAAGUCCUCAUGGCCCUUAUGUCUAGGGCUACACACGUAAUACGAUGGCGCGUACAGAGGGAAGCGAACUCGCAAGGGGGAGCAAAUCUCAAAAAGCGCGCCUCAGUUCGGAUUGGAGUCUGCAACUCGACUCCAUGAAGUUGGAAUCGCUAGUAAUCGGAGAUCAGCACGCUCC
rnacentral:rRNA from 1 species